rnacentral:rRNA from 1 species
GACGAACGCUGGCGGCGUGCUUAACACAUGCAAGUCGAACGGAAAGGCCCUGCUUUUGUGGGGUGCUCGAGUGGCGAACGGGUGAGUAACACGUGAGUAACCUGCCCUUGACUUUGGGAUAACUUCAGGAAACUGGGGCUAAUACCGGAUAGGAGCUCCUGCUGCAUGGUGGGGGUUGGAAAGUUUCGGCGGUUGGGGAUGGACUCGCGGCUUAUCAGCUUGUUGGUGGGGUAGGGGCUUACCAAGGCUUUGACGGGUAGCCGGCCUGAGAGGGUGACCGGCCACAUUGGGACUGAGGUACGGCCCAGACUCGUACGGGAGGCAGCGGUGGGGAAUAUUGCACAGUGGGCGGAAGCCAGAUGCAGCAGCGCCGCGUGCGGGAUGACGGCCUUCGGGUUGUAAACCGCUUUCGACUGUGACGAAGCGUGAGUGACGGUAAUGGGUAAAGAAGCACCGGCUAACUACGU